AAGUCGAGCGGAUGACGGGAGCUUGCUCCUUGAUUCAGCGGCGGACGGGUGAGUAAUGCCUAGGAAUCUGCCUGGUAGUGGGGGACAACGUUUCGAAAGGAACGCUAAUACCGCAUACGUCCUACGGGAGAAAGCAGGGGACCUUCGGGCCUUGCGCUAUCAGAUGAGCCUAGGUCGGAUUAGCUAGUUGGUGGGGUAAUGGCUCACCAAGGCGACGAUCCGUAACUGGUCUGAGAGGAUGAUCAGUCACACUGGAACUGAGACACGGUCCAGACUCCUACGGGAGGCAGCAGUGGGGAAUAUUGGACAAUGGGCGAAAGCCUGAUCCAGCCAUGCCGCGUGUGUGAAGAAGGUCUUCGGAUUGUAAAGCACUUUAAGUUGGGAGGAAGGGCAGUAAGUUAAUACCUUGCUGUUUUGACGUUACCGACAGAAUAAGCACCGGCUAACUCUGUGCCAGCCGC
rnacentral:rRNA from 1 species